rnacentral:rRNA from 1 species
GUCGAGAAUCUUCCGCAAUGGGCGCAAGCCUGACGGAGCGACGCCGCGUGGAGGAUGAAGGCCUUCGGGUUGUAAACUCCUGUCACGAGUUAAGAAGGGUACACGGCGAACAGUCGUGGACUUGACGUAAGCUCGAGAGGAAGCACUGGCUAACUCUGUGCCAGCAGCCGCGGUAAUACAGAGAGUGCGAACGUUGUUCGGAAUCACUGGGCUUAAAGCGCACGUAGGCGGCAUCGUAAGUGUCGGGUGAAAUCCCACGGCUCACCCGUGGAACUGCCCGGCAGACUGCGAUGCUCGAGUGUGGUAGGGGAGAACGGAACUCCUGGUGGAGCGGUGAAAUGCGUAGAUAUCAGGAGGAACACCGGUGGCGAAGGCGGUUCUCUGGUCCACAACUGACGCUGAGGUGCGAAAGCCAGGGGAGCAAACGGGAUUAGAUACCCGGGUAGUCC